CGGUCCGUCCCCAGGCGCUGCUUCCGGCCAACUGAUCCUCUCCCGCCUCAGAAGAGCGCAAGCUAUUAUUUCACACGGAUUUAUUGCUGAGCAACCUCGCGCGGAAGAGAAGCGGCUCCUGCAGGGACCGUAUCACUCUUGCUGGUGAAUGGAAGAGAUGAAAAGAUUGGAAGCAACUUCAAGGAAAGAAAACCUGUCUUCAUCCAGUUGUGGGAGAGAUAUUUCCUGCUCUUUGCUAUGCCUUAUCUUAUAAAAC
ensembl:lncRNA